rnacentral:tRNA from 2 species
GUCCCCAUCGUCUAGGGGACUAGGACAAGAGCUUUUCAAGCUCUCGACCGGGGUUCGAAUCCCCGUGGGGACGCCA